UGCAAAAUCCACCAAAUCUUUUACAGGAUUUCUUUUUCCAUUGCAGAUGGUCCUUUGCACAUGUUUGAUUCCCAUUGGCCCGGGGUCCCGGGCUGACAGUACUGCAGCUAUGCAGGUAGUGCAUAUAAGGGUGCACUGUGCCUGCACCAGGCCCUUGCACACCGGAGAGGGGGAAACUGGAGAAGAAGGACUGCAGGGGAUAAGCAACAUGAGAGGAGGAACAGUAUGCCUUCAGUCACUGCAGUGGAAGAGAUCUACAAGUUCCACCAGUUAUGAAUCAGGAGAGGAAAUCUGAUGACACUUUAUGUUGUGGCUUGGGUAUGUAUGCAUUCAAAUGUCACAUAAAAAACUUCAGUCUAUUGAUUUUUUUCUGCAAAUCCAGUUCAGUCCCACACAGACCUGGAGAGACCGCCAUGCAGAGAAACUCCAGCCAGAUACUGGUUUGGACUCCAAGACCUUCUUGCUGUGAGCGUCUCGAACUAGUCUGGGAAACUGUUGAUGGCUGUCUCAGGAGCCAUUUUCCAAGGUUCUACCUGUACCCCCACAUCCCGUGUACAUGUUGACAAGAAAGGUACUUCCAAGAGUCUCAAGCAAGAAAUGUUCAAGCAAGAUGAUGCCAAAGAUGGUCGACAACGUGGUGCUGUCUUGAUGUUGGGUGGUCUUUGUGGUCAAAAAUGUAAGCUGUCAGAUUUCAGUACGUUGGACUUUUGGAUUCUUGGAGGUAAACGUGACAGAGGGAAGAGCACGAUCACAGUAAAGUAGGGGUUGACUUAAUUGGAUUUCUGCAGUAUAUCUGAAUGAAUGACCCUCAGACUCAUCACUUAAACAGCGCCACCAAGAGGUGAAAGUCUGUGUCUGAUGUUAACUUUUGUAAACAGUGGAACAAUGCCAGCGAAAAAAACUUCCUGUUAAU